UAGGGAAUCUUCGGCAAUGGGGGGAACCCUGACCGAGCAACGCCGCGUGAGUGAAGAAGGUUUUCGGAUCGUAAAGCUCUGUUGUUAAGGAAGAACGAGUGUGAGAAUGGAAAGUUCAUACUGUGACGGUACUUAACCAGAAAGGGACGGCUAACUACGUGCCAGCAGCCGCGGUAAUACGUAGGUCCCGAGCGUUGUCCGGAUUUAUUGGGCGUAAAGCGAGCGCAGGCGGUUAGAUAAGUCUGAAGUUAAAGGCAGUGGCUCAACCAUUGUAGGCUUUGGAAACUGUUUAACUUGAGUGCAGAAGGGGAGAGUGGAAUUCCAUGUGUAGCGGUGAAAUGCGUAGAUAUAUGGAGGAACACCGGUGGCGAAGGCGACUUUCUGGUCUGUAACUGACGCGGAUGUGCGAAAGCGUGGGGAUCAAACAGG
rnacentral:rRNA from 1 species